GAUGAACGCUGGCGGCGUGCCUAAUACAUGCAAGUCGAGCGAAUGGAUUAAGAGCUUGCUCUUAUGAAGUUAGCGGCGGACGGGUGAGUAACACGUGGGUAACCUGCCCAUAAGACUGGGAUAACUCCGGGAAACCGGGGCUAAUACCGGAUAACAUUUGAACCGCAUGGUUCGAAAUUGAAAGGCGGCUUCGGCUGUCACUUAUGGAUGGACCCGCGUCGCAUUAGCUAGUUGGUGAGGUAAAGGCUCACCAAGGCAACGAUGCGUAGCCGACCUGAGAGGGUGAUCGGCCACACUGGGACUGAGACACGGCCCAGACUCCUACGGGAGGCAGCAGUAGGGAAUCUUCCGCAAUGGACGAAAGUCUGACGGAGCAACGCCGCGUGAGUGAUGAAGGCUUUCGGGUCGUAAAACUCUGUUAUUAGGGAAGAACAAGUGCUAGUUGAAUAAGCUGGCACCUUGACGGUACCUGACCAGAAAGCCACGGCUAACUACGUGCCAGCCGCCGCUGUAA
rnacentral:rRNA from 1 species